AACUGAUACUACCUGCGGGAACCUGCGGAAGGAUCAUUACCGAGUUUACAAAACUCCCAAACCCUUUGUGAACCUUACCUAUCGUUGCUUCGGCGGGAACGCCCCGGCGCCCUCGCGGCCCGGAACCAGGCGCCCGCCGGAGGCCCCAAACCCUCAUGUCUUUAGUGGUUUCCUCCUCUGAGUGACAUAAACAAAUAAAGUAAAAACUUUUAACAAUGGAUCUCUAGAUCGGAAGAGCAC
rnacentral:misc_RNA from 1 species